CCCCUAGUGGUCUGCUGGCUAGGAUUCCUGGCUUUCAUCCAGGUUACCCAGGUUCGAUUCCUGGUCAGGAAG
rfam:TPA: Bos taurus chromosome 13, whole genome shotgun sequence.